rnacentral:snoRNA from 1 species
CUUCAGUGAUGAGACGAUGACGAGUCGGAACAGAACUCAGUCUGGUUCUGGUGGUUGACUGGUUCAGGUUCACGUUCUGUGGUUCUGGGCCAGUUCCUCAGAGCAGGGAGUUCUUCUUAGUUGAAGACAUCGAGGCAUUUGUCUGAGAAGG